GGUUGAUCCUGCCAGUAGUCAUAUGCUUGUCCCAAAGAUUAAGCCAUGCAUGUCCAAGUAUAAACCUUUAUACGGUGAAACUGCGAAUGGCUCAUUAUAUCAGUUAUAAUUUACUUGAUGAUCUCUUUACUACUUGGAUAACCGUGGUAAUUCUAGAGCUAAUACAUGCAAAGAACCCGACUUACGAAGGGUUGUAUUUAUUAGAUAAAAACCAAUGCCUCGUGCUUUUGGUGAGUCAUGAUAACUGCGCGGAUCGCAUGGCCUUGCGCCGGCGACGCUUCAUUCAAAUUU
rnacentral:rRNA from 1 species